rnacentral:rRNA from 1 species
GUCUUUUUGUUAAUUAUAUAAGGUUUGGCCUGCUCCAUGAUUUAAUUAAAUAGCCGCAGUAUUUUGACUGUGCAAAGGUAGCAUAAUCAUUAGUUUUUUAAUUGGAAGCUGGAAUGAAUGGUCGGAUGAGAAAGAAACUGUCUCAUUUUAAUUGUUUGAAUUUUAUUUUUAAGUUAAAAAGCUUAAAUUUUAUAGAAAGACGAGAAGACCCUAUAGAGUUUAAUAAGCUGUGGUUUAAUUGUUUUAGGAUUUAAAUGUGAUUAAUUUAUUGUUUAUUUUGUUGGGGUGACAUAAGAAUUGAUUUAACUUCUUUUUGUUUUUACAUUGAUUUAUGGUUAAAUGAUCCUGAUUUUUGGAUUUAAAGAAUAAAUUACCUUAGGGAUAACAGCGUAAUCUUUUUGGAGAGUUCUAAUCGAUAAAAGGGAUUGCGACCUCGAUGUUGGAUUAAAGUUAAUUUUUGGUGCAGAAGCUAAAAUUUUGAGUCUGUUCGACUCUUAAAACUUUACAUGAUCUGAGUUUAAACCGGCGUGAGCCAGGUUGGUUUCUAUCUUUUAUGGAGGAAAUAUUUUAGUACGAAAGGACCAAAUAUUUGGAUAAUAUUUUUUAUUUGAAUAAUGUUGUUACUUUGGCAGAUUAGUGCAAUAGAUUUAGAAUCUUUAUAUGUAAUUGUUUUACAGGUAGCAAUUUAUUUUGUUGAUUUGGUUUUAUUGUUUAUUUCUAUAUUAAUUUUAUUGGUUUGUGUCUUGAUUGGGGUAGCUUUUUUGACUCUUCUGGAGCGUAAAGUUUU